UGAGCACUUUAAAUCCAAGGAGAUGC
rnacentral:piRNA from 1 species